UGGAGUGACCAACUGUCCCAAUUUGCCUGGGACUGGGGGGUUUCCCAGGACACGGGACUCUCGGUACAAAAACUUGGAAAGUUCUGGACAAACUGGGACAGUUGGUCACUCUAAUGGUCA
rnacentral:pre_miRNA from 1 species